UACGUAGGGGGCGAGCGUUGUCCGGAUUUAUUGGGCGUAAAGAGCUCGUAGGCGGCUUGGCAAGUCGGGUGUGAAACCUCCAGGCUCAACCUGGAGACGCCACUCGAUACUGCCAUGGCUAGAGUCCGGUAGGGGACCACGGAAUUCCUGGUGUAGCGGUGAAAUGCGCAGAUAUCAGGAGUAACACCGGUGGCGAAGGCGGUGGUCUGGGCCGGCACUGACGCUGAGGAGCGAAAGCGUGGGUAGCAAACAGG
rnacentral:rRNA from 1 species